CCCCACAAUAUUUUGGCUCAUUUCUUAAAAUGUCCGGUGAUGAUAAUACUAGUGCUACUGCCCAUAUUCCACACCAUCUGAUGAUCCAAAUCUCUGGAAUGAAAAUUACAGACACUUGACCAUGAUUAACAGCAUCCCUGUCAAUUACCAAGGCUCAGCAAAACUGCAUGCGUCCUAAUUAAAAUCAAUUGAAUGAACUGAAUUACACCAAAUUCAUUUGUCACAUAGAAAUGACCAGAUGCUGUGGAAUCUGGCGUUUAUUUGAAGCUGCAGGAGUGUUUGAUUACAGUCAUUCUUCCAGGAGUUCUUUGCAUCACCCACAGGAACAGAGGCAGCGGAGGCGAGGCAGGAGUAUUUGGCUCGCUGUAAACGACGCCAUAUCAAUUCUUGCGUUUUCUUGAGAAAAGUCGAUGCAGCAGUGCCUCGGGAAGACUGACUGGCUCAUUACUCCAUUGAUAUUCUCUGACCAUGGUCUCAUGCUGAAUGCUUCACUCAGACAGGAACAACAUUAAAGAGCCUCAAGUUUUUCUCCAGCUGCCUGGGCAGAAGAUGCCUGGUACGAUCUCAAGCCAAGCCUCGGGUUCGAGUCUCCAUCGAGGACAGCAAGCCAUGCUCGUUUACCAUUAUCCAUCAGGACUGGAUGGGCAGGUGAACUGGUGUAAGUGUUUUUAGCACAAUGCUAACCAGUUCCAAGGGUGAGAAAAGCCCCUCACCAAGACUCUAUUAUAUUCCAUUCUCUAGAUAGCUCUCUAGUCCCUCUUUAAUUCACAUUUAAUGUAUUUUGUAACCAGUUUUAUCCACAAAUCUGAUUUCUUAUUAGCAAUAGCAUACCUAUCCUCAACUAGCCAUUUACACUAGUUCUUGCUGAAAAGCUUCCUGAAACCAGUCUAAGAUGAUUUGACUUUCUUACUUGGUCUCCCAGGCUGGUCAACUGUCUCUGUGAUAUUCUAUUUUAUUCUCAAGAUGUCACUCAAGUCCCUCUUUAAUUCAAAUUUAAGGGAUUUUGUCACCAAUUUCAUCCUAAUCUGAUCACUAAUUUACAAUUGCACACCUCUCCUUAACCAGCACCACAGUUUAAGUUCUUGCUGAUAAAACCUUUUUAAACCAGACUAAGAUUUUUUUUAUGGUCUUUCAGACAGCCCGAAUAGCUGGUUUUAGAGUGGUUUCGGUAUUUUUCAGCUUGACCAGGCUGGAAGACUAGCUGGCUGUGCAACUAAACAAAUAAAUGCCAGUUUUGGCCAUGUUGUAAGACCAGAUGAAAAAAAAAACGGUUAGUUUUACUAAAAGGCAAAUUUUACUAAAAAGGCAACAAAAAAGUCCCGUAAUUGUUUUUAAACAAUGCAUUAUAAAGUACAUGAAAUGCACUAUAUUUAUUUUACCGUCAAUCUAAACUCUUCUGUCUUUUUCUCUUUCACACAUAACACACACACUCACUCACUUACAGAUCUGCGAUGCCCUUGCAGAGGUCAGCGGUGAGAGAGGUACUCCUCAGGAAAGGGCCAGCAGGUUGGGUUUUAGUGGUCUGAUCUGUGCUUAUUUAGAGGCUGUGAAUAAUGCAUGAGACGUCGGUGUGCAUGGCUCUGCAGGGAUAAAGUGGCUCUCAGCCCGAUAUCCCAGCAUUCCCAGGCCCUCCCAGUCCGCACCGCAGGUGAGCUUCAGCCGGCGCUCCGGAGGUAACUUUCAUGCUCUGCUGGGCAAACAUUUUCCAGGUCACAUUUUCAAUUACUCUGAGAGCCAUGCCGACUCACAUCCCUCAGGCUCCCUAUCACACACGCACACACACAGCCAACGCCCACUCUAAACAAGCUUUGCUUGAAGAGGAAAUG
ensembl:lncRNA